GUCCUGGUAGCUCAGCUGGAUAGAGCAAUGGCCUUCUAAGCCAUCGGUCGGGGGUUCGAAUCCAUCCCAGGACG
rnacentral:tRNA from 1 species